ensembl:lncRNA
AUUUCUAGAGGGCUUGGAAAAACUUGAGUAUGCAUAUAUACAAAAAAAAGAAGAAGCCCAAAGAGAGGAUGAAGAUUCUGGAGAGAAGCAAGCUCUGAGGAGAAACAUUUCCUUAGAUCCUUAAGUGAAGCUGCUAGCCUGCGAAGUUUCCACCAGAUGGCACCAAAACACUAUAUUCCAAGCACUAAGCCGUCACCGCGCCUUCAGGAGAAAGAGCCGGAACCUUCCGCUCCUCUGAGAUGAUCAAGCACAGGCCCAGGGGACACCUGCCACAGCAUAUGGCUUGACAAGCGGUGCAUAGGUCCACACCUGGGAUCCGAACUGGUGAACCCUGGGCUGCGGAACUGGAACAUGUGAACUUAACUGCUGCGCCACCAGGCUGGCCCCCGUAUACACUUUUAUGAUAUUUUGUAGGUAUACUCUUUUGUAAAAUUUUGCCAACAACUGUAACAUGCAUGUACAUAUACAGAAAGUACAUAAAUAUUUCUUGUUUUGCAAAGAUGUGUGUGCAUGGGGGGUGGGUGCUGUGUCUUCCCACUGCACAGAGUCGCUGUGUCUUGCUCUAGACAUUGGAAGCAUUUCUGGCUGCUUCCUUACCCUGGGGAGUCAUCUGAACGUCCAGAGUUCCCAAAGUGCUUUGGGAUGGCUUAGGCUAAAAGAUGCUAUUUGUUGUGAAGCUAGCUUGUUUUAUUCCCAAGGGAAUUUCAUCAUUUUUGUAUUUGUGAAAACUGUCAUAUUUGGAGAUCUGGGUCUUUCUCAAAAUGCAAUUAUCUGAAAGAAGCAAACCAACACAGAGUAGACCCCUUGUCUUCAAAGUCAUUUUAUUAAGAGUAAAUUAGACUGGAAAAAUGAUAGUCUAAAAUGCAUUUUCAAUAGAUUGCUGUCUAAAAUGCAUUUUCAAUAGAUGGCUGUCAGGCCUGCUACCUGUCAAACAGAGAGGCCUGCAGUCUCAUAGUGACAUAUGGAUUAGCCCAGGCUUCCCCGCAGCGUGAAAACAAAAGACAAUUGGUGAUGCAUGGGGCAAACUCAUCUUAAAACAGAGAUAUCAACAAAGGAAUAUGACAGAAUGAAAAGACUGAGUGCAGGCUGCUGUCCACAUUUGCAAAGAGAUUCUGUCUGAAUCCAUAACUUCAAUACAAUAUGAG